GUGUGCGAUCAUACCAGCAUUAAUGCACCGGAUCCCAUCAGAACUCCGAAGUUAAACGUGCUUGGGCGAGAGUAGUACUAAGAUCGGUGACCUCUUGGGAAGUCCUCGUGUUGCACCUC
rnacentral:rRNA from 1 species